UGGUCGGUGCUGAUUUGCGGUGCUUGAAGAUAGGUUAUCCGUGUUGCCUUCGCUGUACUCGUGACGAAUCAUACACGGUUGGCCUAUUUUCCAGUACCAGAUCCCAGCUGGGAGGGCU
rnacentral:precursor_RNA from 14 species